rnacentral:rRNA from 1 species
CCUCGAUGUCGGCUCAUCACAUCCUGGGGCUGAAGUAGGUCCCAAGGGUAUGGCUGUUCGCCAUUUAAAGUGGUACGCGAGCUGGGUUUAGAACGUCGUGAGACAGUUCGGUCCCUAUCUGCCGUGGGCGCUGGAGAACUGAGGGGGGCUGCUCCUAGUACGAGAGGACCGGAGUGGACGCAUCACUGGUGUUCGGGUUGUCAUGCCAAUGGCACUGCCCGGUAGCUAAAUGCGGAAAAGAUAAGUGCUGAAAGCAUCUAAGCACGAAACUUGCCCCGAGAUGAGUUCUCCCUGAGACUUAGAGUCUCCUGAAGGAACGUUGAAGACGACGACGUUGAUAGGCCGGGUGUGUAAGCGCAGCGAUGCGUUGAGCUAACCGGUACUAAUGAACCGUGAGGCUUAACCUUAC